rnacentral:misc_RNA from 1 species
UCCGGUUUGUCACCGGCAGUCUCCCUAGAGUGCCCUUGCGUAGCAACUAGGGACAAGGGUUGCGCUCGUUGCGGGACUUAACCCAACAUCUCACGACACGAGCUGACGACAGCCAUGCAGCACCUGUGUUACGGCUCUCUUUCGAGCACGAAACCAUCUCUGGUAACUUCUAGACAUGUCAAGGGUAGGUAAGGUCUUUCGCGUUGCAUCGAAUUAAUCCGCAUGCUCCGCCGCUUGUGCGGGUCCCCGUCAAUUCCUUUGAGUUUUAACCUUGCGGCCGUAGUCCCCAGGCGGUGAACUUAAUGCGUUAGCUGCGGCACUGAUCGGGUCAAUCCGACCAACACCUAGUUCACAACGUUUAGGGCGUGGACUAC